UACGUAGGUGACAAGCGUUGUCCGGAUUUACUGGGCGUAAAGAGCGCGCAGGCGGUCGAUCAAGUCGAGUGUGAAAGCCCCGGCUCAACUGGGGAGGGUCAUUCGAUACUGAUCGACUCGAAGGCAGGAGAGGGUAGUGGAAUUCCCGGUGUAGUGGUGAAAUGCGUAGAUAUCGGGAGGAACACCCGUGGCGAAGGCGGUUCUCUGGGACGGUACUGACGCUGAGACGCGAAAGCGUGGGGAGCGAACAGG
rnacentral:rRNA from 1 species